AAUGAACGUUGGCGGCAUGGAUUAGGCAUGCAAGUCGAGCGAGAAGAGUUUUGAAGCUUGCUUUAGAACUCGGACAGCGGCGAAAGGGAGAGUAACGCGUAGUUAUGUGCCCUAGGGUCCGGAAUAGCCACGGGAAACUGUGGGUAAUGCCGGAUAACAUCCCCGGAUCAAAGGUGUGAUUCCGCCCUAGGAGCAGACUGCGUCCUACUAGCUAGUUGGUGGGGUAAUGGCCCACCAAGGCAAUGAUGGGUAGCGGGUGUGAGAGCAUGACCCGUCUCACUGGGACUGAGACACUGCCCAGACACCUACGGGUGGCUGCAGUCGAGAAUCUUCGGCAAUGGGCGAAAGCCUGACCGAGCGAUGCCGCGUGCGGGAUGAAGGCCCUCGGGUUGUAAACCGCUGUCGUAGGGGAGGAAGGUUCCGUGAAGAGCGGAAUUUGACCUAUCCUAGGAGGAAGUACGGGCUAAGUUCGUGCCAGCCGCCGCUGUAAUAC
rnacentral:rRNA from 1 species